rnacentral:rRNA from 1 species
UACGUAGGGGGCUAGCGUUGUCCGGAAUCAUUGGGCGUAAAGAGCGUGUAGGCGGCCCGGUAAGUCCGCUGUGAAAGUCGGGGGCUCAACCCUCGAAUGCCGGUGGAUACUGUCGGGCUAGAGUGCGGAAGAGGUGAGUGGAACUCCGAGUGUAGGGGUGAAAUUCGUAGAUAUUCGGAAGAACACCAGUGGCGAAGGCGGCUCACUGGACCGGAACUGACGCUGAGGCGCGAAAGCGUGGGGAGCAAACAGG